rnacentral:rRNA from 1 species
AACGAACGCUGGCGGCAGGCUUAACACAUGCAAGUCGAACGCAUCCUUCGGGGUGAGUGGCAGACGGGUGAGUAACGCGUGGGAACGUGCCCUUCAGUUCGGGAUAACCCAGGGAAACUUGGGCUAAUACCGGAUACGUGCGAGAGCAGAAAGAUUUAUCGCUGAAGGAUCGGCCCGCGUCUGAUUAGCCAGUUGGUGGGGUAAUGGCUCACCAAGGCGACGAUCAGUAGCUGGUCUGAGAGGAUGAACAGCCACAUUGGGACUGAGACACGGCCCAAAUUCCUACGGGAGGAAGCAGUGGGGAAUAUUGGCCAAUGGGCGCAAGCCUGAUCCAGCCAUGCCGCGUGAGUGAUGAAGGCCUUAGGGUUGUAAAGCUCUUUCGUCCGGGACGAUAAUGACGGUACCGGAAGAAGAAGCCCCGGCUAACUUCGUGCCAGCAGCCGCCGUAA